UGGGGGGGGUGGUUAAACAUGCCAGGUCGAACGAAUGAAGCCCUUCGGGGUGGAUUAGUGGCGAACGGGUGAGUAACACGAGGGCAAUCUGCCCUUCACUCUGGGACAAGCCCUGGAAACGGGGUCUAAUACCGGAUACGACGCGCUCGGGCAUCCGAUGUGCGUGGAAAGCUCCGGCGGUGAAGGAUGAGCCCGCGGCCUAUCAGCUUGUUGGUGAGGUAACGGCUCACCAAGGCGACGACGGGUAGCCGGCCUGAGAGGGCGACCGGCCACACUGGGACUGAGACACGGCCCAGACUCCUACGGGAGGCAGCAGUGGGGAAUAUUGCACAAUGGGCGAAAGCCUGAUGCAGCGACGCCGCGUGAGGGAUGACGGCCUUCGGGUUGUAAACCUCUUUCAGCAGGGAAGAAGCGAAAGUGACGGUACCUGCAGAAGAAGCGCCGGCUAACUACUUUUUUUUUUUGCCGCGGUAAUA
rnacentral:rRNA from 1 species